CCAGCCUUGUUACCUCCUUGCUGGCCAGAAGGGAAAGAGACCCUCUGUGGCUUUCUUGUCUUUAACAUGUGUCUUCACAGAGGCAUGUACACUUUCCUUAGUGGUUAAACAGACUGUCAAUUCUCAAAGCUAAUUACUGAUUGGUUUUUUUGUCAGACACCAACAAAAUUGCUAGCAGCUUCUCUAUAGAACAUCACUUCCAUGAUGCAAAACCCCCAUAACAGCACAGAGCACAGAGCUCCUUUUUCCAUAUGUAGUAGUCAUGAGCCGUAGGCCUCAAAACCCAUCCUUGGGAGAUCUCUGGGCCCUGUCCAAAGUGUGUCCAAAUGAAAAUAUUCAACUCAUAGUCUAAGAAAAUCAGCAGAGGACAGUGCCAUCCUGACGUGCCUGUCCUGGCUACUUUUGUCUGGGAGCAAUCCAGGGGUAUACAGAAUUUGGGAGGCCAAAUUCUAAUUUUGGUCAUGGCCCCUGGAUAUGAAAGCCAGUUCUUUUCCACAGGAAUGAAGGAACAGAGCCCCAGUGUUUCAGGGGCAGAUGAGAGGUAACCACCAGAGGCCAAGGCCAGCCAGAGGUGCCAGGUUUUAUUCGGAGAGAUACCCCUCCAGGAGCUGAUGAGAGGCAGCCCUUGACAUCCCAAGAUCAGCCAGACCUGUCAGGUGGCCCCUGGGAGGCCAAGCCAACCAGACCUGUUCCAUGUUCCCUGGGUUCCAUCAGGCCCCACAGAGUCAUAAUGGUCUCUGGGGUCCAUGAAGCCCCGCUGUGUCACCAUGGCCCCUUGGUUCCAUGGGCUCCAGUGGUGCCACAAUGCUCCCCUUGGUUUCAUGAGGUCCCCACAGUGUCCCAGGGAUCUCCAUGGCAAGGAAAGAACCAAGCCCCAGUGAUGCAGGGACAGUCACCAGAGGCCAAGGCCAGCCAGACUUGACAGUACUGGUAGAUUUUGCCUGGGAGCAAUUCUUGGAUAUGCAGACUUUUAGAGGUGGAAUCCCAAUUUCACGCAUGGACACCAGAGGAGAAGGAUGGUCCUGUUCCAUAGGAAGGAAAGCACGGAGCACCGGGGUUUGACAGGCAGAUGAAAGGCAGCCAUCAGAGGCCUAGGACAGACAGACCUCUCUGUCCUGGUAGCUUUUGUCUGACAGCAACCCUUGGAUAUAGGGGAUUUUGGAGGUGGAAUCCCAAUUUUAGCCAUUUCUGCAUAGAUAAGAAGGACAGUUCUUUUCCAUAGGAAGGAAAGCACAAAACCCAAGGGUUUCAAAGGCAGAAGAGGAGAGAGGUGGCUCCUGGGUGGCCAAGACAGCCAGACCUGUUUGUCCUGGCAGCUUUCAUCAUGGAGGAAUCCUUGGAUAUAUGGAAUUUGGUAGGAAGAAUCUCAGUUUUGUCCACGGGCAUCUUGAGAAGAAGGAUGGUUCUUUUCCAUUGGAAGGAAAGCCCAACACACAGUGUUUGGAAAGCAGAUGAGAUGCAGCCUCCAAGAGGCCAAGGGCAGCCAGACCUGUCUGUCCUGGCAUCUUUCAUUGGGGGGAAAUCCUUGGAUGUAUUGUGUUCUUGAGAUGGAAUCCCAGAUUUGACCAUGGGACCCUGGUCAAGAUGGAUGGGUUUUUUUGUAUUGGAAAGAAAAGUGCAAAGUCCAGGUGUUCUGGAAGAUGAUGAGAGUUGGCCACCAUUAAGACAAGCCAGCCAAACCUCUCUCUGCUGGCACCUUUUGUCUAGGGGCUUUCCUUGGUCACAGGGCAUUUUGGAGGUGGAAUGUCAAUUUUGGCCAUGGGCACCUGGACAGCAAGAAGAGUUCUUUUCAUUAGGAAGGAAAGCACAGAGCCUCAGUGUUUCAGAGGCAGAUGAGUACCAGCCCUCAGGAAGCCAAGGCCAGCCAGACUUGUCACUCCUGGCAGCUUUUGUCUGGGAGUUAUCUUUGGAUAUAGGGAAUGCUGGAGACAGAUGCCCAAUUUUAGUCAUGGGUGCCUAGUCCAGAUGGAUGUUUUUUUUCCCAUAAGAAAGAAAAGCACAUGGUCCCAGUGUUUCAAAGGCAGAUGACAGGUGGCCCCUGGACGGCCAAGGCAGCCACAGCUGUCACUCCUGGCAGAUUUCAUCUGGAAACAACCUUUGCAUAUAAGGAAAUUUGGAGGAGGAAUCCCAAUUUUGACAUGGGCCCCUGGAGGACAAGGACAGUUCUCUCCCAUAGGAAGGAAAGCCCAGAGCCCCAGUGCUUCAAGGGCAGAUGAGAAGCAGCCCUUGACACGCCAAGGUCAGCUGGACCUGUCAGGUGAUCCCCAGGAGGCCCAGCCAGCCAGACCUGUUCCCUGUUCCCUUGGUUUUGUGAGACCCCACAGUGUCCCAAUGGUCUCCUUGGUUCCAUGAGGCCCUGGAGUGUCCUUUGUGCUCCCACAAAGCCCUGAUCUGUCACCAUGACCCCUCGGCUCCAUGUGCCCUCACUGUGUCACAAUGGCUCCUCUGUGACACUGGGGGCUCCACAAGGUCACCAUGGACCCUUGGGGCUUGGGGCCCCUGAGUUUCACAAUGGAGACAGUCCUGGAUUGCCAAGCAGAUUGUAUUCUCUUUGCCAUCUGUAUGGCAGUUGUCUUCUGUUAAAGGAACAGCAGCUGCCUCUUCCACUGGAUUUUCAGAGGAAGACUACACCUUUCUACAGGAUCCCUGCUCCAACAGAACCGCACCUGACACUCCAGGAGGACUGCAGCCACCAUUCCAAUUGGACUGCUACCAACACCCUGUGCAACAGGGUGUCAGGUUGUGUUCUGAUUCUGUCAGUGUUGUCUUGCUUUACUGCAUUGUUUAUUUUAUCUUUUUAUUUGUUUCCCUAAUAAAGAACUGUUAUUCCUGCUCCCAUA